UGAUGGGAAAUCAUUACAGUCCUGAUUUGGCUCCUCCUAACUUCUUUUUGUUUCAUAAUCUUAAUCUGUAAAGGAUACCCUUUUCAGUUAAUUUGUAAAAGACUGCAUCUGAAACCCCAGCGCCUACAACAGAGACCAGCAAAUGAUUCAUAGGUCAACACAUACAUGUGUGUUGAUCAAAUGAAUGAAUGCAUGAAUUGGAAGAAUGAUGGCGGCAAGGCAAGGUCCCCCAGGUUGACUUCUUGCCGGCCCAGGACUCCCCACCCCUCCUUUACCGGCUAAUUUUUGUAUUUUUUAGUAGAGACAGUGUUUCACCAUGUUGGCCCAGUUGGUCUCAAACUCCUGAGCUCAGGUUAUCCGCCUGCCUUUGCCUCCCAAAGUGCUGGGAUUACAGGCAUGAGACACCACGCCCAGCCUGGUGCAUUUAGAAUGUUCCUCCUUCUCCUUCUCCUCUCCUCCUCCCCCUCUCCCUCCUCCUCCCUUCCCCUUUCUCACCCUCCCCUUCCCCCCCCUCCUCCUCCUCCACCUCCUCCUCCUUCUUCUUCUUCUUCUUCUUCUUCCUCUUCUUCUUCUUCCUCUUUCUUCUUUUUUCUACUCAGUCUAUCCUUAUCCAAGGAAUGCUCUUCUUUAUAUUGAAGUGCAGUUAACUUCCCAGAACCAUCAUCCUCUUCCCUGGAGCUUCUAUCAUCAUUCACUUAUUUAUCCACCAUGCAUCCAUCCACCCAUCCACACUUAUUCAUCAUCCAUCCAUCCAUCCAUCCAUCUGUCCAUCCAUCCAUCUGUGUUUUUUUGUUCUUCCUCUCUCUCUGCCUCCUUUCAGGUUGACUCCGAGCAUUGGCGCCUGAGUCUAUGGGUGAAUGGUUGCACCAUUUCCCAAGAUUGGGAAGCCAAAGGGAAGAGCAGGGUGGGGACACAAAACCAAUGACAUGUUACAGUUCUCUUAUGGACAUGCUACAUUUGAGGUGUCUUUGGGACACUAAGUAGAGAGGGAAUAAAUGGGCAAGGUAGAGAGAGCACGUGAUAGGUGUUCAGUAGGUGGUAGCUGUUUAGACAUUCAGUGAGUUGCCCCAUAAUAAUGUAAUUCAAGUGAGGUGUGUGUGCCCCAACAGGGACUGGGGUUUCCUCUGGAAUUCUAGCUGGAAAGACAGGUUUGACCCGGGAACUCAGCUCUGCCCUGGUGUUGGUGACAAUCUUAGAUCAAUAGGCAGAGGGCAAGUCCCUCAGGAAAAAGACCAGUGAUCCUCAAGAUCCAUUCUGGGGCCACUAUGAGGGUCUUGCUUUUCUUAGAUGAUAUUUCUGGUCCAAUGGAAAAUAUAGACAUAGUGUCACGAUUUCAACACAAACAAGCGAAUGUGGCUGCCAAAAAAUCAGAUGCAGGCUUGGCUUUCAUUGGAAAGGAAAUCAGACUGUGUGUGGAGGGUCUCAUCCUCCUUGAGCAUUUCACAGGCCCUUGGAAAGAGUGGCGGCAGGAGGAGCAAAAGGAGGUUCAGUCCAGAAGAGAGAAGGAUGCGGAGGUCACAGGGUAGAAAGUGCUGCUGCCUUGCACCUGUCAGCUCCAGGCCAUCCUCUGUCUUUCAGCAAGUAAGAGUCAUUUCCUCUGGGAAGCCUCUCCCGAUAGUUUCAGACCAGGGGCAGCCCCCAUGUUGUAUGGUCUCAUAGCACUCUUCAUUUUCUUUCUAGCACUAAUCAAGCAGGAUAUUGUAUUAUUCAGUGACUGUUGGGGUAGCCAGACUGAGCCCCUAAAGGCAGAGACCCUGUCUGAAUGUGCUUACCAUUGUAUCCCGAGCUCCUGGCACAGUGCCUAACAUGUAGUAAAUGCCAAUUCGUAGCUACUGAAUAAUUGAAUGAUUGAAUGAUUGGGUGGAUGGAUGGAUGACUAGAUGGGUGGAUGAAUAAGUGAAUGAUGAUAGAAGCUCCAGGGAAGAAGAUGAUAGUUCUGGGAAGUCAACUGCACUUCAAUAUAAAGAAAAACAUUCUAAAGUAAGCACCAGGCCAUGUGUGGUGGCUCACGCCUGUAAUCCCAGCACUUUGGGAGGCUGAGGUGGGCAGAUCACCUGAGGUCAGGAGUUUGAGACCAGCCUGGCCAACAUGGUGAAACCCCGUCUCCACUAAAAAUACAAAAAGCUGGGCAUGGUGGGACACAGCAAAUUAUGAAUCAUUUGCUGGUCUCUGUUCUAGGUGCUGGGGUUUCAGCUAUG
rnacentral:lncRNA from 1 species